GACGAACGCUGGCGGCGCGCCUAACACAUGCAAGUCGAACGAGCGAGAGAGAGCUUGCUUUCUCAAGCGAGUGGCGAACGGGUGAGUAACGUGUGAGGAACCUGCCUCAAAGAGGGGGACAACACUUGGAAACAGGUGCUAAUACCGCAUAAGACCACGGAUGGGCAUCCAUCAGAGGUAAAAGGUGCAAACCGGUUUGGGGUGGGCUCGCGUCCGAUUAGAUAGUUGGUGAGGUAACGGCCCACCAAGUCGACGAUCGGUAGCCGACCUGAGAGGGUGAUCGGCCACAUUGGAACUGAGAGACGGUCCAA
rnacentral:rRNA from 1 species